AACUGGGAUUAGAUACCCCACUAUGCUUAGCCUUAAACAUUGAUUAUUUAUUACAUCAAACAUCCGCCCGGGUAUUACGAACAUUAGUUUAAAACCCAAAGGACUUGGCGGUGCUUAACAUCCACCUAGAGGAGCCUGUUCUA
rnacentral:rRNA from 1 species